rnacentral:rRNA from 1 species
AACGGCAGCGCGGGGCAACCUGGCGGCGAGUGGCGAACGGGUGAGUAAUAUAUCGGAACGUACCCAAGAGUGGGGGAUAACGUAGCGAAAGUUACGCUAAUACCGCAUACGAUCUAAGGAUGAAAGCAGGGGAUCUUCGGACCUUGUGCUCCUGGAGCGGCCGAUAUCUGAUUAGCUAGUUGGUGAGGUAAAGGCUCACCAAGGCCACGAUCAGUAGCUGGUCUGAGAGGACGACCAGCCACACUGGAACUGAGACACGGUCCAGACUCC